rnacentral:rRNA from 1 species
GACGAACGCUGGCGGCGUGCUUAACACAUGCAAGUCGAACGGAAAGGCCCUGCUUUUGUGGGGUGCUCGAGUGGCGAACGGGUGAGUAACACGUGAGUAACCUGCCCUUGACUUUGGGAUAACUUCAGGAAACUGGGGCUAAUACCGGAUAGGAGCUCCUGCUGCAUGGUGGGGGUUGGAAAGUUUCGGCGGUUGGGGAUGGACUCGCGGCUUAUCAGCUUGUUGGUGGGGUAGUGGCUUACCAAGGCUUUGACGGGUAGCCGGCCUGAGAGGGUGACCGGCCACGUUGGGACUGAGAUACGGCCCAGACUCCUACGGGAGGCAGCAGUGGGGAAUAGUGCACAAUGGGCGGAAGCCUGAUGCAGCAACGCCGCGUGCGGGAUGACGGCCUUCGGGUUGUAAACCGCUUUCGCCUGUGACGAAGCGUGCGUGACGGUAAUGGGUAAAGAAGCACCGGCUAACUACGUG